rnacentral:rRNA from 1 species
GACGAACGCUGGCGGCGUGCUUAACACAUGCAAGUCGAACGGAAAGGCCCUGCUUGCAGGGUACUCGAGUGGCGAACGGGUGAGUAACACGUGGGUGAUCUGCCCUGCACUUCGGGAUAAGCUUGGGAAACUGGGUCUAAUACCGGAUAGGAGCCAUCUUUAGUGUGGUGGUUGGAAAGUUUUUUCGGUGUAGGAUGAGCUCGCGGCCUAUCAGCUUGUUGGUGGGGUAAUGGCCUACCAAGGCGGCGACGGGUAGCCGGCCUGAGAGGGUGUACGGCCACAUUGGGACUGAGAUACGGCCCAGACUCCUACGGGAGGCAGCAGUGGGGAAUAUUGCACAAUGGGCGCAAGCCUGAUGCAGCGACGCCGCGUGGGGGAUGAAGGCCUUCGGGUUGUAAACUCCUUUCGCUAGGGACGAAGCCUUUUUGUGACGGUACCUAGAUAAGAAGCACCGGCUAACUACGUG